rnacentral:rRNA from 1 species
GAUGAACGCUAACGGUGUGCUUAAUACAUGCAAGUCGAACGGACAAUGUGAAAGUGGCAACACUUUUGCAAAGUCAGUGGCGAACGGGUGAGUAACACGUAGGUAAUCUACCUUAAAGAUCGGGAUAACCUUCCGAAAGGAAGGCUAAUACCGGAUGUUUUAUAUUGAUCUUAUGGGUUAAUAUAAAAAAGGUAGCCGCAAGGCCUCCGCUUUAAGAUGAGCCUGCGUCCUAUUAGCUUGUUGGUAAGGUAAUGGCUUACCAAGGCAAUGAUGGGUAGCCGGCCUGAGAGGGUGACCGGCCACACUGGGACUGAGAUACGGCCCAGACUCCUACGGGAGGCAGCAGUAGGGAAUCUUGCGCAAUGGGCGAAAGCCUGACGCAGCGACACCGUGUGAAGGAUGAAGGUCUUCGGAUUGUAAACUUCUGUCAAUUGGAGACGAAGGUAACAGGGUUAAUAGCCUCUGUUACUGACGGUAUUCAAUAAGGAAGUCUCGGCUAACUCCGUGCCAGC